AUGGAGUGUGACCGCGUUCCAGCCGUGUGUAAUUGGCCGACUCCGACCACGGUAAAAGAGGUGCAGCGGUUUUUAGGGUUUGCCAAUUACUCCCAGAGGUUUAUCCGGGGUUUUGGUCAGGUGGCUGCACCCAUUACCUCACUGCUGAAGGGAGGACCGGCGCGCUUGCGCUGGUCAGUGGAGGCGGGCAGAGCUUUCAGUCAUCUGAAGGAGCUGUUCACCAAUGCGCCAGUGUUGGCGCAUCCGGAACCCUCUUUAGCGUUCAUAGUGGAGGUGGACGCGUCCAAGGCUGGGGUAGGGGCCGUGCUGUCUCAGCGCUCGGGCGCGCCACCAAAGCAAAACUAUGACAUGGGGGACAGGGAGUUGUUAGCUGUAGUCAAGGCUCUGAAGGUGUGGAGACAUUGGCUUGAGGGGGCUAAGCACCCUUUUCUUAUCUGUACUGACCAUCGUAAUCUCGAGUAUAUCCGGGCAGUGAGGAGACUGAAUCCACGUCAGGCUAGAUGGUCCAUGUUCUUUACCCGGUUCCACUUCACCAUCUUGUACCGGCCAGGCUCCCAAAACACUAAAGCCGACGCACUGUCCCACCUAUAUGAUACCGAGGAGCGGUCCAUCGAGCUGACCCCCAUCCUUCCACCUUCAUGUCUCAUGGCACCGGUGGUAUGGGAGAUGGACGCAGAGAUAGAGAGGGCAUCACGGUUGGAGCCUGCCCCCCCCCCCAAGUGUCCAGCAGGGGCUCAGUACGUGCCGCGGGGUGUCCGUGACAGGUUAAUUCGUUGGGCUCAUACUCUACCCUCCUCGGGUCAUCCUGGCAUCGAGAGGACAGUGCGGAGUCUUAGGGGGAGAUACUGGUGGCCCACAUUGGCGAAAGCCGUGAGGUUUUAUGUCUCCUCCAGCUCGGUGUGCGCUCAGAGCAAAGCUCCUCGACACCUGCCUAGAGGGAAGUUACAGCCCCUCCCCGUUCCACAACGGCCGUGGUCACACUUGUCGGUGGACUUCCUCACCGACCUUCCCUUGUCCCAGGGAAGUACCACGAUCCUGGUCGUUGUGGAUCGGUUUUCUAAGUCCUGCCGUCUCAUCCCGUUGCCCGGUCUCCCUACGGCCCUGCAGACUGCGGAGGCCCUGUUUACCCAUGUCUUCCAGCACUACGGGGUGCCUGAGCACAUUGUCUCUAAUCGGGCUCCCCAGUUCACAUCCAGAGUUUGGAGGGUGUUUAUGGAGAGGCUGGGGUCUCGGUCAGCUUGA
rnacentral:lncRNA from 1 species